GUCCUGUCCUAGUGGACAUGGCAUCUGCCCGGUAAGCGGAACACUGUGGGUUCGAUUCCCAUCUUUGGACA
rnacentral:tRNA from 1 species